rnacentral:rRNA from 1 species
UACGUAGGUGGCAAGCGUUGUCCGGAUUUAUUGGGUUUAAAGGGUGCGUAGGCGGUCUAUUAAGUCAGCGGUGAAAUACUCCAGCUUAACUGGAGGGGUGCCAUUGAUACUGAUGGACUUGAGUCAAGUCGAGGUAGGCGGAAUUGACGGUGUAGCGGUGAAAUGCUUAGAUAUCGUCAAGAACACCAAUAGUGAAGACAGCUUACUGGGCUUAAACUGACGCUGAGGCACGAAAGUGUGGGGAUCAA